rnacentral:lncRNA from 1 species
CGCCACCAAAACCUGCUUGACACAAUUAUAGCCACAUUUGCAUAACAGAGACUGAGAGCUCUCUUAGAAGGAGUGGUAAUUAGAUUCUCCAGUGAUUAGGGACACUUUCCAAAAGUGGGGAGAGGAGAUGGAAAUCCAACCUUGAAGUGGAAAAAGAAUAAACAGAACGGAACAGAGGGUGGCUAGCAGGUGGCAGGACAGGAGGGACAACAGACCAAGAAUCAAAUGGACUUGGGGCCUCCCCCUGCCCACAGUUCUCUGCACUCGGCUGCGACUGGGUUGAACGCCAGAGUCUCCUGGCUCCGAGCCCAGAGCAGCGGCCCCGCAGCAAUUGUCCUGAGGGAACGAGCCUCCGUGAGCCCGGAAUGGGUGCGUGCCAACUCUGGAAGGGCCAUCAAGGGAAGAGACCCCCGUGGGUCACCCCUACUCCUCACUAGGGCUCUGGAGAGCCACCAGUCAUCUGCUCACUCUCCCCCUUGGCGGGUCUCCUGUGACCAGAAGCUCCGGUCCCUGGACUGUGCAGGCAAGUGUUUAACCACCAGCUUUGAGGUGAGGGGAGUGCCUGAUCUGUAGGGCUUGCCAAUUGCCAAGGUGUCAACUCCCACGAUAGGCAUGUUCAAGACACCAAAUGCGGUGUGGCUGAAUGGGUGGCCAGGAAGGGAGGCACAGAGGCAUACUGUUACGUUGUAUUGUCAUCACACAGAUACAACAGACAUAAACAACCUCAAGAGCACAGGUAAUGAUAAAAUGUAGUGAAAGGAU